CAUUACACUCAUUGUCCAUCGAACACAACCUCCCUGCCGCCAUUCCCCGGCUGCCUGGAGCUCAGCAACGUGACCAGCGGUGACAACGGGAGUUUCACGUGCCGUGUUGAGUUUGUUGACUCUCCCACGCAGACGCAUACGGUGCUACUCACAGUAUACGCUCCUCCUGCCAAGAUCGUCAUAGAGGACGAGGAGGGGCGCGCGCUGCCGCCUGACGAAGAAGGCGUCGUGGUCGUCGGGCCGCUGGAUGAAGACGAGCGCCUCAGGCUCGCCUGUACAGCUUACGGCGGCUGGCCAGAGCCACAGAUCGCGUGGGCUGUGGAGCAGGAG